AAGAGACAGCAGUAGCCGCGGUAAUACAGAGGGUGCAAGCGUUAAUCGGAAUUACUGGGCGUAAAGCGCGCGUAGGUGGUUUGUUAAGUUGGAUGUGAAAUCCCCGGGCUCAACCUGGGAACUGCAUCCAAAACUGGCAAGCUAGAGUAUGGUAGAGGGUGGUGGAAUUUCCUGUGUAGCGGUGAAAUGCGUAGAUAUAGGAAGGAACACCAGUGGCGAAGGCGACCACCUGGACUGAUACUGACACUGAGGUGCGAAAGCGUGGGGAGCAAACAGGAUUAGAGACCCCCGUAGUCCCUGUCUCUUAUAA
rnacentral:rRNA from 1 species